CAGUCGCCGCGGGAAUACGAAGGGUGCAAGCGUUAAUCGGAAUUACUGGGCGUAAAGCGUGCGUAGGCGGUUUGUUAAGUCUGUUGUGAAAUCCCCGGGCUCAACCUGGGAAUGGCAAUGGAUACUGGCAAGCUAGAGUGUGUCAGAGGAUGGUGGAAUUCCCGGUGUAGCGGUGAAAUGCGUAGAGAUCGGGAGGAACAUCAGUGGUGAAGGCGGCCAUCUGGGACAACACUGACGCUGAGGCACGAAAGCGUGGGGAGCAAACAGGAUUAGAUACCCCAGUAGUCCCUGUCUCUUAUAC
rnacentral:rRNA from 1 species